CCCUUAGAUGUCCGGGGCCGCACGCGCGCUACACUGAAGGAAUCAGCGUGGCUUUCUCCCUGACCCGAAAGGGUUGGGAAACCCGUUGAAUCUCCUUCGUGAUAGGGAUUGGGGCUUGAAAUUGUUCCCCAUGAACGAGGAAUUCCCAGUAAGCGCGAGUCAUAAGCUCGCGUUGAUUACGUCCCUGCCCUUUGUACACACCGCCCGUCGCUCCUACCGAUUGGGUGUGCUGGUGAAAUGUUCGGAUCGGCCGUUUGUCGCGGUUUCCGCGUCAUGUGGCUGAGAAGUUCAUUAAACCCUCCCACCUAGAGGAAGGAGAAGUCGUAACA
rnacentral:rRNA from 1 species